rnacentral:rRNA from 1 species
UCAGUGGUGAAAGCCCCCAGCUCAACUGUGGAACUGCCAUUGAUACUGAUCAUCUUGAGUACGUUUGAGGUUGGCGGAAUUCGUCAUGUAGCGGUGAAAUGCUUAGAUAUGACCUAGAACACCGAUUGCGAAGGCAGCCUACUGAGCCGUAACUGACGCUGAUGGACGAAAGCGUGGGGAGCGAACAGGAUUAGAUACCCUGGUAGUCCAGGCCGUAAACGAUGAUUACUAGAUGUUGGAAGAAUACCAGUGCCUAGGCGAAAGUGAUAAGUAUCCACCCUCCCGCGGGGGCCGCAAGGUUGAAACUAAAAAGAAUUGACGG